ensembl:lincRNA
UUGAAAAUGUUAUUGCAGUAUGUAAUUCAUACAUGAACAUACAUAAACCAUAAGUGUGGGGUAAAAGUUGUGAACUUAUAAAACAAACGUGUACAUCAUCGUGGGGGAUCCCAUACAUCACGCCCCCCGGACCUUGUUUUUGACACAUUCGUUACAAACCAUGAAAGAGCAUCGUGAAAAUACUACAGACUAUAACCAAUAUUCUCGUGAUGCUCUUCUGCAGUGAAUAAGUCCUUUCGUAGGGAGACGCACCUGGGGGAGGCCCGCAGUGCAAUGGAAGGCAAUGCUGCCACAUUCCAUAUAAGGGCACUUUGAGUAAAUAUUGCAUGGAUCAAACUCAAGAUCCAACAUUUUCACAAAGCCGGGACAGCUUCAGAAUCCGUUUGGCCAGGCCACGUCUCCCUUUGAUGCGAUGCCACUUUGCAAAGCGUUUGAACCACAAUCAUCGACUUUUUUCUUUUCCUUCUUUCUCUCCUUGAUGUGACACAAAUCUUCCUUUUUAUUUUAUAAUUUUCGUAGUAUUUUUUUUUAUGACAAUGACUUUAACAAUAUACAUUUGACGGAACAGUCCUUUUGGUUGUUAUAGUUGAUAGUUUGGUAAAAAAUUUAAAAAAAACAACCACCAACCACCACCAAAAACAAACAAACCCCCCAAAAAGCCCCCCUCAGCUUGGUGCCAUAGACGGAGUCCAAAGGACAUUAGCUGCUCCGCUGCACACGUUGGAAGGGAGAGUUUGCUGUGAGCUCGGCCCUUCCAAUAGCCUGGCGGUUCUGUGAAAGGUUUAGGGGCGUUUGUUUAACCGUUUCUGCGUGGGUUUUUAAUGAGCUCACGGCGGCGACAGCGAAGGCCAGGCUGUCCGCUCUGCAGCCUUUCGGACCUGGCCCUCCCUGCCGACGGGGCGCGUGAGCACCUGUGCUCCUCUGCCCCCUCACCUGGAGGCCUCAGGGCGCCGGGGCCAUCUCCAAGCCUGUCCCCUUGCCAGUGGACGAGCCACGCCGCGGGCGGCACGGAAGGAGCCCCCCUGUCGACAGCUUUCCAUCUGGACUUUGGCUGGCACCGCUCCUUCCCGGAGAGCACUGGAACAUGAUGGAUGCACGAUACGUUUUCUGCAGCUAUUUAAGAAGAAGAAAGAUGCUCCUCCCGGGGUAAAGUUAUGUGCUGCGCCCCACCCACACGCGCGCUGCGGCGAGGCCAGUACAGAUUUUUUUUUUUUUUGUGAAAGAUUACUUCUUGGCAAACUAGAUAUGCAAACGCCAGAAUACAGUAAAACCACAUUUAAUUGGACCUACUUGCCAACUUCUUGAACACAGCUUGGAUUAUUCCACUGGAGGCUGCUCCUGUUAAAAGCUGGGGGAGGAGGAAGUGGCAUAUUGACAAGGCUUCAGAUAAUUUUUUUUUUUUCACUCGAAGUACAAUUAUGCAACGAGCCAAGUUUGGAAGUAUUUUACUAUGUUUAAUAAUUAUUAUUAAAGAUAUUGUAAAACAUAUGCAUUUGUUAAGGGGGAAUGUAAUGGGAGUAAAAUCAUGUCAUAAAUUUUACUUGGGAUUUAUUUUCCUAUUUUGUUUCUUAUUUGACAGCCUUCCAAAUUGAUCCUAGCCAAAACCAUGC